rnacentral:rRNA from 1 species
CGAACGCGUCUUGGUUAUUGAUGUUGGAUGCUUGCAUUUAACUGAUUUAACAUUGAGACGAGUGGCGAACUGGUGAGUAACACGUGGGUAACCUGCCCUUGAAGUAGGGGAUAACACUUGGAAACAGGUGCUAAUACCGUAUAACAACCAAAACCACCUGGUUUUGGUUUAAAAGAUGGCUUCGGCUAUCACUUUAGGAUGGACCCGCGGCGUAUUAGCUUGUUGGUAAGGUAACGGCCUACCAAGGCAAUGAUACGUAGCCGACCUGAGAGGGUAAUCGGCCACAUUGGGACUGAGACACGGCCCAAACUCCUACGGGAGGCAGCAGUAGGGAAUCUUCCACAAUGGACGAAAGUUUGAUGGAGCAACGCCGCGUGAGUGAUGAAGGGUUUCGGCUCGUAAAACUCUGUUGUUGGAGAAGAACAGGUGUGAGAGUAACUGUUCACAUCUUGACGGUAUCCAACCAGAAAGCCACGGCUAACUACGUGCCAGCAGCCGCGGUAAUACGUAGGUGGCAAGCGUUGUCCGGAUUUAUUGGGCGUAAAGCGAGCGCAGGCAGUUUCUUAGGUCUGAUGUGAAAGCCUUCGGCUUAACCGGAGAAGUGCAUCGGAAACCAGGAGACUUGAGUGCAGAAGAGGACAGUGGAACUCCAUGUGUAGCGGUGAAAUGCGUAGAUAUAUGGAAGAACACCAGUGGCGAAGGCGGCUGUCUGGUCUGUAACUGACGCUGAGGCUCGAAAGCAUGGGUAGCGAACAGGAUUAGAUACCCUGGUAGUCCAUGCCGUAAACGAUGAGUGCUAAGUGUUGGAGGGUUUC